AGUUCUGGAAACAUGAAGAAUCACUGUUUGUCAGAUUUCUUCUGUUUUACAAAACCUUUUUGAGCAAACUCAACUGUGGGUGAAAGCCCUCUCCAGUACCUUCAUUUUGGCGUUGGUUUCACUUCAAAUGACAUCCUGAAAUUGAAAUGGUUCACAGAUCAAUAUCUGGUCAGAUCUGACUUUGUCGAAUUAAACCAGGAGCUUGGAAACGAAUUUUUGAAUGAAACCAAUUGGGGGAUGUUUGGUUUAUACCAUGGUGAUAACCGAGAGAGGCAAUUGCUAAGUUGUGAUACUCUCAUACCUUUACUAGAUGCGAACAAUUCCGGAGAAGAAGAAGAAGUGGAAUUGGACAAGGAUUUUAUUUUUGUUGUUGGGAUUCUUAUAUUGAUGGAGUUGAAAAAGUACAGGGACAAAUAAGCCAAG